UCCGCGACCCGGCCGCACCCAACCCUGACAGCGCAAGGACUGGAUCUGCCCCGGAAACACCCAGGGCCCUGCCCCUCCGAGCCAGGUGACCAGGUGUGGGCAGGCAGCUCAGCAAGGCAGGAUCUUCGUGGGGGGAUCCAGGUGUGGGCAGGCAGCUCAGCAAGGCAGGAUCUUCGUGGGGGGAUCCAGGUGUGGGCAGGCAGCCCAGCAAGGCAGGAUCUUCGUGGGGGGAUCCAGGUGUGGGCAGGCAGCUCAGCAAGGCAGGAUCUUAGUGGGGGGGGAUCCAGGUGUGGGCAGGCAGCUCAGCAAGGCAGGAUCUUAGUGGGGGGAUCCAGGUGUGGGCAGGCAGCUCAGCAAGGCAGGAUCUUAGUGGGGGGGGAUCCAGGUGUGGGCAGGCAGCCCAGCAAGGCAGGAUCUUCGUGGGGGGAUCCAGGUGUGGGCAGGCAGCUCAGCAAGGCAGGAUCUUAGUGGGGGGAUCCAGGUGUGGGCAGGCAGCCCAGCAAGGCAGGAUCUUCGUGGGGGGAUCCAGGUGUGGGCAGGCAGCUCAGCAAGGCAGGAUCUUAGUGGGGGGAUCCAGGUGUGGGCAGGCAGCUCAGCAAGGCAGGAUCUUAGUGGGGGGAUCCAGGUGUGGGCAGGCAGCCCAGCAAGGCAGGAUCUUCGUGGGGGGAUCCAGGUGUGGGCAGGCAGCUCAGCAAGGCAGGAUCUUAGUGGGGGGAUCCAGGUGUGGGCAGGCAGCUCAGCAAGGCAGGAUCUUCGUGGGGGGAUCCAGGUGUGGGCAGGCAGCUCAGCAAGGCAGGAUCUU